GGCUUAUUGAAUUUAAUUUUAGGUCGAUCUGCCCAAUGAUAAUUAAUUAAAUGGCUGCGGUAUAACUGACUGUACGAAGGUAGCAUAAUAAAUUGUUUUUUAAUUGAAAUCUGGAAUGAAAGAAUUGAUGAAAUAUAUACUGUCUCGUAUAUAUAUAUUAUGAAUUUAAAAUUUCAGUAAAAAUGCUGAAAUAUUUUUAUGGGACGAUAAGACCCUAUAGAAUUUUAUAUUUAUAUAAAUUUGAAUAAAAUUUGUAUUAAUAUUUUGUUGGGAGGAUUAAUAAAUUUAAAUAACUUUAUUUUAAAUUUAAACUUUAAUUUAAGAAUAAUUAAUUUGAUCUUGUAUUAUAAAUUAAAAGAAAAAAUUACCUUAGGGAUAACAGCGUAAUAUCUUUUUUAAGAUCAAAUUAAUAAAGAUGAUUGCGACCUCGAUGUUGAAUUAAGAUAAAUUUUAAAUGUAGAAGUUUAAUAAUUAAGUCUGUUCGACUUUUAAAAUCUUACAUGAUUUGAGUUCAAAUCGACGUGAGU
rnacentral:rRNA from 1 species